rnacentral:rRNA from 1 species
UUUUGGACAAUGGGCGAAAGCCUGAUCCAGCAAUGCCGCGUGCAGGAUGAAGGCCUUCGGGUUGUAAACUGCUUUUGUACGGAACGAAACGGUUCUCCAUAAUACGGGGGGCUAAUGACGGUACCGUAAGAAUAAGCACCGGCUAACUACGUGCCAGCAGCCGCGGUAAUACGUAGGGUGCGAGCGUUAAUCGGAAUUACUGGGCGUAAAGCGUGCGCAGGCGGUUAUAUAAGACAGAUGUGAAAUCCCCGGGCUCAACCUGGGACCUGCAUUUGUGACUGUAUAGCUAGAGUACGGUAGAGGGGGAUGGGAUUCCGCGUGUAGCAGUGAAAUGCGUAGAUAUGCGGGGGAACACCGAUGGCGAAGGCAAUCCCCUGGACCUGUACUGACGCUCAUGCACGAA